rnacentral:tRNA from 1 species
GGGGUUGUGGCUUGGUGGUAGAGUUCUUGUCUAUCAUACAUGAAGCAUUGGGUUCAAUCCCCAGCACCA